GCUAGGCCUCUUUCCCUCCCUGGCCUCUCCCUCCAUCUAUAGAGCUGGUGACCUCCACAGGCCCUCCUACGCAAGGAUUCUCUGGCUCUCUCUGAUCUAUUUUUGCCUGACACCUCUCCCAGGGGCCUGUGGGUCUGAGCUAAUUUCCCUGGCUGGCCGAGAUCCAGGCAGCUCAGGUGGAGAGUGCUGAGCUAAUGAGGCCAAGGUCAUCGGCCAGUUAGGGUGUCUUUGAGGAACCUGGCUUUGUAGCUGGACUGCAGCUCCUCUACCAAUCGCCAGCCUCAGGCACUGGUGACCUUAUAGGGAAUAAAGACAGCAAAGCUGGCUCCUGCAAGUCAUCACUUUCUGUAGAAGCCUCUAGGGAUGUGUUGGGAGCCGUGGCACUGUCAAGUCAUCAGACGCGGUGAUUGCGAGGCCUGUGGGAAAGUACAAAAGCCUGGGCUAGAUUACCCCUCUCAUCGAGCCCGCCUGUGUGGCACCUGUUUCUUAUCACCCCACUAAGUACCCGCCUCACAGGGUAGUCUGCCUAGCUAUUAAUCCUAUAUAUAGCCAGUGCCUCCACCCCCGAGAGAGAGAGAGACUGAAGCACAAAAGGAGCCGCGGAGAGCGGACCGGUAGAGGCUUCGGGGCAGACUGAAGCACGGAAGGAGCCGCGGAGAGCGGACCGGUAGAGGCUUCAGGGCAGACUGUAUAAGGAGAGAAUAAAGAAAAGCCUGACCACCGCCAGACCUUGUCGUGUGUCUUUCCUGCCGGCCGGGAGCGGACAUCGACAUUUGGAGGCCUGCCCGGGGAUUGAUCAACCCCGAGACGCGGCGGUGGACUGCAUUCUCCUACACAGUGCUGCAGCUGCAGGACAGGAAUCGGGACGAGAACCAAUGUGGGUCCCAGAGAGGUUGACGCGACAAGUCCCUCGACUGAAGAUCAGGCCUGUUCCACCAGAGGCCAACCGCAGACCCAACAACAAGAUGAGCCCUAAAAGAACUGCAGGACAAUCCCUUUUUGGGGGCCUGGAACGGCUUGCUCCCCUAUGUGCUACCCUUGUAUACGCAUGGCUCGCUCGCAUGGCCUACGACCGCGUUUAAAAGUGACAGGCUUCCCACAUUCUCCUCCCUAGACAACAACAUGUAGCAGGGUGGGUGAGUCAAUGACGGGUAAGAGCGUGCCUCCCCAGCACGACUCAACCUAAGCCAGGCCCUACCCCGUUCCGCUCGAAAGCCGCUGGAUUGUUAGAUAAAUUUCUCUCCGAGGGGAUUCGUGGAGAGAAAUGAGUGCAUGCCUAUGUGCAACCAGGUUCCGUCCGGUUCAUUCCUGGCCCUAGAAAAAAGGACGAGGGCCUCAGGGCCUUGGUGGACCCUGGGACGGCCGACCAGGGUCUACGCUAAGGGCCUACGGUGGGCCUCAGUUCGGGGCAUAGGCCUCUGCACUCUAUCCAGGACGGGCUGCGAUGCGCGUAGCCAUCAUUUAAAAUAAAAUAGGGGGAGAUGUUGGGAGCCGUGGCACUGUCAAGUCAUCAGACGCGGUGAUUGCGAGGCCUGUGGGAAAGUACAAAAGCCUGGGCUAGAUUACCCCUCUCAUCGAGCCCGCCUGUGUGGCACCUGUUUCUUAUCACCCCACUAAGUACCCGCCUCACAGGGUAGUCUGCCUAGCUAUUAAUCCUAUAUAUAGCCAGUGCCUCCACCCCCGAGAGAGAGAGAGACUGAAGCACAAAAGGAGCCGCGGGGAGCGGACCGGUAGAGGCUUCGGGGCAGACUGUAUAAGGAGAGAAUAAAGAAAAGCCUGACCACCGCCA